rnacentral:rRNA from 1 species
GCUUGUCUCAAAGAUUAAGCCAUGCAUGUCUCAGUAAAAGCUUCUAUACGGCGCAACUGCGAAUGGCUCAUUAAAACAGUUAUAGUUUAUUUGGUGGUCAACUCGUACAUGGAUAACCGUGGUAAUUCUAGACCUAAUACAUGCGCCCAAACCCAACUUCUUGAAAGGGUUGUGUUUAUUAGAUACAGAACCAACCCAGGCUCCGCCUGGCCUUGAGGUGAUUCACAAUAACCGAAAGAAUCGCAUAGCUGCCGCUGCCGAUAUACCAUUCAAGUUUCUGCCCUAUCAGCUAUCGUCUGUAGGGUAUUGGCCUACCGUGGCAAUGACGGGUAACGGAGAAUUAGGGUUCGAUUACGGAGAGGGAGCCUGAGAAACUGUUACCACAUCUAAGGAAGGCAGCAGG